GAUGAAGAACGUAGCGAAAUGCGAUAAGUAAUGUGAAUUGCAGAAUUCAGUGAAUCAUCGAAUCUUUGAACGCACAUUGCGCCCCCUGGUAUUCCGGGGGGCAUGCCUGUCCGAGCGUCAUUACAACCCUCAAGCUCAGCUUGGUGUUGGGCCCCGCCGCCCCGGCGGGCCCUAAAGUCAGUAGCGGUGCCGUCCGGCUCCGAGCGUAGUAAUUCUUCUCGCUCUGGAGGUCCGGUCGUGUGCUCGCCAGCAACCCCCAAUUUUUUUCAGGUUGACCUCGGAUCAGGUAGGGAUACCCGCUGAACUUAAGCAUAUCAAUAAGCGGAGGA
rnacentral:misc_RNA from 1 species